rnacentral:rRNA from 1 species
UACGUAGGUGGCAAGCGUUGUCCGGAUUUAUUGGGUUUAAAGGGUGCGUAGGCGGCCUUGUAAGUCAGUGGUGAAAUACUCCAGCUCAACUGGAGGGGUGCCAAUGAUACUGCAGGGCUUGAGUACAGAUGAGGUAGGCGGAAUUGACGGUGUAGCGGUGAAAUGCAUAGAUAUCGUCAAGAACACCGAUAGCGAGGGCAGCUUACUGGGCUGUAACUGACGCUGAGGCACGAAAGUGUGGGGAUCAAACAGG